GGGGGGGGGGUGCCUAAUACAUGCAAGUCGAGCGAAUGGAUUAAGAGCUUGCUCUUAUGAAGUUAGCGGCGGACGGGUGAGUAACACGUGGGUAACCUGCCCAUAAGACUGGGAUAACUCCGGGAAACCGGGGCUAAUACCGGAUAACAUUUUGAACCGCAUGGUUCGAAAUUGAAAGGCGGCUUCGGCUGUCACUUAUGGAUGGACCCGCGUCGCAUUAGCUAGUUGGUGAGGUAACGGCUCACCAAGGCAACGAUGCGUAGCCGACCUGAGAGGGUGAUCGGCCACACUGGGACUGAGACACGGCCCAGACUCCUACGGGAGGCAGCAGUAGGGAAUCUUCCGCAAUGGACGAAAGUCUGACGGAGCAACGCCGCGUGAGUGAUGAAGGCUUUCGGGUCGUAAAACUCUGUUGUUAGGGAAGAACAAGUGCUAGUUGAAUAAGCUGGCACCUUGACGGUACCUAACCAGAAAGCCACGGCUAACUACGUGCCAGCAGCCGCGGUAAUACGUAGGUGGCAAGCGUUAUCCGGAAUUAUUGGGCGUAAAGCGCGCGCAGGUGGUUUCUUAAGUCUGAUGUGAAAGCCCACGGCUCAACCGUGGAGGGUCAUUGGAAACUGGGAGACUUGAGUGCAGAAGAGGAAAGUGGAAUUCCAUGUGUAGCGGUGAAAUGCGUAGAGAUAUGGAGGAACACCAGUGGCGAAGGCGACUUUCUGGUCUGUAACUGACACUGAGGCGCGAAAGCGUGGGGAGCAAACAGGAUUAGAUCC
rnacentral:rRNA from 1 species